rnacentral:lncRNA from 1 species
UUUUUUUUUUUUUUUUGGUCUUUUUAGGGCUGCACCCACAGCAUAUGGAAGUUCCCAGGCUAGGGGUCAAAUCAGAGCUACUACAGCUGCUGGCCUGCACCUCAGCCACAGCAACGCCAGAUCCAAGCCACGUCUGUGACCUACACCACGGCUCACGGCAAUGCCAGAUCCCCAACUCACUGAGUGAGGCCAGGGAUCGAACCCCUGUCCUCAUGGAUACUAGUCAGGUUCAUUACCGCUGAGCCACAAUGGGAACUCUGGAAAAAUGGAAUAUUAAAGCAGUAGACUGAAUCACUAUCAGGGAAAACCACCUCGGCCAGGUAAGACUAAAGUACUGCCCCAAGUUUUAAUACAUUUGAAUGAUUCAACCAGUAUGACUUGUUGCCCCACAUGCUGGAAGGGGGGACCCUGCCAAGACACUCAACAUUAUAAAAAGUCCCUGGAAAAAGGCAAUGCCCUGACUCUCACCAUAAAUCAACAUGCUGUGCUGCUGACAACACCAAACCCCAUCACAUCUGGGAAAGGCAUUAUCUACUGUCAUGUUUAAUGAGAUGCCACCAGGACAGGUGAGUUACUUCGUACCCUUGGAUGAGCAGUAAUUACUCAGUCUCCAUUGGGAUCCUACUGUCCUGCUGUAAGCUAUGCCUGAAAUGGAACAUACACGUAUAGAAAGAAAAGGUGAGGGUUCUGGUCUGGCAUAUCCCACCCUCUCGCCCAUCUCCCCACGCCCGACAGUGCUGCCUCCCCUCAGCCACAGGUGUGGGAGAGAUACACAACCAGGUGGAGAUCCUCAAGCUGCCAGCCUCCUUCUCUGCAAGGCCAGGUGGGUAUGUUCUGUCUUCCACUGGGACUACCCACCUGGCUGCUGUCUUUAUCCCCUCCAUUGGCCGGGGUGACGAUAUAGCACCCACAGAAGCCUUUGCUCAACGCACCCAGCAAGCCUUAUAUGAUAGCCAGGAAAGUCUGUCCAUGCCAAACACUGAAAUGUCUCUGAUGAGAAAAGUGUCCUCCAAAAUAGGAUGGCCUUGACUUUACCACUGCCUCAACAGGGGGCACCUAUGCCAUUGUCCACACAGAAUGUUGUAUGUUCACACCCGAUGCGUCCGUCUGCUGAUGUGUCAUCUCUAUUAAAUCGCCUGAGGACACAAACACAUUCCCUGAGGGAUCUGACCACCAGUGCAGGGGACUGAGUAAAUCAGUGGUGCAGAUCCGGGGGCUUAGUGGAAAAAACGAUUUCCUUUGGGAAUCAGUGUCUUAAGCUGUGUUUUCUCUUGCGUAUGUCUGUACUGUUGCUGUGGCAUGUGCCUCCAACACAGCCCGACGGCUCCCACGUGAACCCCCUCCAUGCUAAUGACACCCCCUGCGGGGUGCUCAGGGCACUCGGAGGAAGAGGGCUGCAGGCAAGACUGGAAGAGCCGGUCACGAGGGGUGGAGGUUCGGAGGAGGUCAUCCAGAGGAUGAGACUGCUGGUUGACCUGUGAGCUGGACCCAGGCAAGCAGAGGCUCCUUGCCCCUCCUCUGUGUCUGGAAUACACUUUGCCUCCUUUCUCACAAUGGGAACUUUCCAAGGACACAGCGCUGAGUAAGGAAGGUGCCGCUGAGACCAGAC